rnacentral:rRNA from 1 species
UACGUAGGUGACCAGCGUUGUCCGGAUUUACUGGGCGUAAAGAGCGCGCAGGCGGUCGUUCAAGUCGAGUGUGAAAGCCCCCGGCUCAACUGGGGAGGGUCACUCGAUACUGAUCGACUCGAAGGCAGGAGAGGGUAGUGGAAUUCCCGGUGUAGUGGUGAAAUGCGCAGAUAUCGGGAGGAACACCAAUGGCGAAGGCAGCUCGCUGGGACGUUACUGACGCUGAGGCGCGAAAGCGUGGGGAGCGAACAGG